CUUAGUUUGAUCGAGUCUAGAUAAAUGAUCGACUAGAAGGUUCUCGAUCCCUUCUUGUCACAAAUCUCCAAGUCAAAUUCUUAUAGAAGAAAAACCCAUCUAAUCAACCUCAACUUAGCUCUUUCUUUCCAAGUAAAUAGGGUCGAAUGGUCAAUAUAAACAAUUACAUUAGAGCCAAUGAGAUAAGAUGAAAACUUAUCAAAAGGACACACUAUCGCUAGCAUCUCCUUCUCGAUAGUGGCAUAAUUCACUUGAGCUUUGGUCAAAGUCCAACUAGCAUAACCAACCUUAUUCUAAAUAACCUCACUUUAGAUGAAGGAAAAGUUGUGGAACAUGCAGAACAGGAUCAGGCUCACCAGCAGGCUUAGGCCUCUAUUCAGGCAAAAAUGGAUGAGAAAGUGCCUAAUGUGCGAGCUCUCGAAAAAAAGAACUCCCAACACUAGAAAGCAGCUUCCAACAUUAGGAAGCAACUCUUAAAGGCUGCAUACAAACUGUCUACCAUCAAGACUGAAAGUGAUGAGGAUUGAGAAUAAUCAAACAGAUGUUCAUGCAGCUCAGAUGAUUAUUCUUGUUUAUAUUGUCACGGCUAUAAACACUUUCUUGUUCCUAUUAACCAAACAUGUUGGACCUGUCUUAACUGCAAGUGCAUUCGCUAUUUAAUUCCAUCCUCAAUCCCACAAAAUUUGGAAGUCAAAGUGUUAGUUGGUCAUGGUUCAUUCCAAAAUAUGGAUUCGAUACAAUUGAGAAGAAACUAAAAAACUUGGAAAGCAUGCACUUCAAUCCCCCUGCCGGUGUAAAUUGAAAGGGGUUGAUCGAAGUGUGAGAUCAGUCCCAAACUAAGGUCAAGCAACUAACUGCUAGCAAAGUAAUCAAAUGUAGUUCAUUCAAGGCUUAAGAUAGAAUUAAUGGGAUGCGCAUCCUCUUUUCGACUCUGACUCUCCCACUCCAGUUAUUGAUUUUCUCUCUGUUACUUCGAAAGUAGCUGCUUCAACUUCAGCGUUCGAAUUUCAAUCUUGUCUCUCUUUUGUCUCAACAUCGCUCCAAUGACAUAAUUACUUACAUCACACAUAAGCUCGAAGGGUAAAUUCGAAUUUGGAGAUACAAUAGUGGGAGCCGUGAUGAGUUUCUCUUUAAAAGUGUUGAAAGCCUAAAGACACUCUUGAGAGAAAUCAAAUAGAAUAUUCUUUUCAAGUAAGAAGUAAAGUGGCUUGGUGAUUUUUGAAAUAUCCUUGAUGAACCCGCCUUUAAAACAUGGCAUGCCCCAUGAAACUCCUUAUGCCUUUCACAAAGAUUAGUGGAAGCAAUCUUUUAAUGACUUCAAUUUGGCUUUGUCGACCUCAAUCCUCUUUCGUAGAAUCCAAUGUCUAAGAACUAUGCCUUCUUGAACAAUGAAAUUGCAUUUUUUCCAAUUGAGCACCAAGUUGGUUUCUUCACACCUCUUCGACACCAGGCCCAAAUUUUUCAAGCAACCAUCAAAAGAAGUUCCAAAUAUUGAGAAGUCAUCCAUGAAUACCAUUAUAAAUUUCUCUACCAUGUUAAAUAAAAUAGCUAUCAUGCAUUGUUGAAAUUUGUGAGUACAUUGCAAAGACCGAAUGGCAUCUUUCUAUUUGUAAAAGUAUUAUAUGGACAAGUAAAAGUUACCCAUUAGGAAGCAAUAAUGAGAAUGGCCUGCCAAUCCCUCGAUUAUUUGAUCAAUGAAAAGAAAGAAAAGAAAAGCAAUCCUUCCUAUAGCAUUGUUGAGCUUCGCUUUCGAUAGUCAAUGCACACUCUCUAAUUGGACAUCGAUCUAAUAGUAUAAGUUCAUUAUUUUCAUUCAUUGCCAUCAUGACACCUUUUUUCUUCGGUACCAUUUGAACCGGACUAACCCAUGCAAUAUCAAAAUAGGAUAAACAAUGUCGGUAUUAAGCCAUUUCACCAUCUUGGCUCUCACAACUUCUUUCAUGUUUGGAUUCGACCAAUGGCUUGAAGUAUCCUCCGUGAGGAUUUGUACAUAUACAAAUAAGGUCUGAUCUUCUGAAUAUUCGAGAUAGUCCAUCCGAUGGCCGUUUUAAGCUCUCUCAAUACCUGAAGCAAUUUCUCCUCCUCCAACUAAAUCAAGUUAUUGAAAAUGAUAACCAGGAGUGUAGAAGUUUCUCCCAGCUAAGGAUACCUCAAAUGCGAGAAAAUUUUAGAUCAACAGUUGGUACUUGUUCAGAAGAGCACUCUUUAAGUCUUCAAAGUAUGGUAUCUUCUUGCAAAAAUAUGAUGGUGUAACACCAUUUUCUCAACAUUGGGAUCUUCUUCUCCGAUGAACGAAAAGUGCGCAAUACCAAACCCAAGUGGAUCCUUAGAAAACCCAUAUGUAUAAGAAUCAACCAACAUAUGAUCAAUUGUAUCUACUUGAAAGCAUGAAUCGAAUCCCAAAGGAUUCUUGAUAGCCUUCAACACAUUAAAUAUGACUUGCUCAUCUUGAACCCACAAAAUCAAAUGAUCUUCUUGCACAUCAAUUAAAGCUCGCCCUAUAGCUAGGAAGGCCCUCUCUAAAAUAAUUGAGAUGUCAUGAUCUUUUUCCAUAUCAAGGAUAAUAAAAUUGACGGAGA
rnacentral:lncRNA from 1 species